AGAGUUGGCAAGUGCUCACACGAAUUACUUAGAUCUCAAUUGAUUGAAAGCGAUAAUUUCACGGGCCACUGGGUUACGUGAUAAAGCCCUCUGCAUGAGAGUGCAGAAUUGCUUGGUUCAGCUGUUGAUUGGCUGGAUAUGCAAGAUUGGGUCUGUAGCUCAGGUGGUUAGAGCGCACCCCUGAUAAGGGUGAGGUCGGAGGUUCAAGUCCUCCCAGACCCACCACUAUCUCGCGGCAGUUACUGAAAAGUAAGCGGGGUAGAGUUGGGCAUUGACAUGGGGCUAUAGCUCAGCUGGGAGAGCGCCUGCCUUGCACGCAGGAGGUCUGCGGUUCGAUCCCGCAUAGCUCCACCACUUCCCACUUUGGGGAGGGUGACCAGAUUAUCGCCAAGAAGUCAGAAAGAAAAGCUUUUGCAUGUAUGCGAAGAGUUUUUGUUUCUGGUUUUUACAAUCAGAUGUUCUUUAACAAGGUAAAUAAGCUGAAAUAAAACACUGUUUUCUCAAGUGUUGUAAUAAUCCGGCGAAAACUGAUUACGCAGCAAGUCGCGUGUAAUCAGAUAGCAGUUUCUUGGUUGAUAUAACGAUGGCUAGUCUAUUUGCUUAUAUGGUCAAGCGACUAAGCGCAUACGGUGGAUGCCUUGGC
rnacentral:misc_RNA from 1 species